CACGUAGGGUGCGAGCGUUGUCCGGAAUUAUUGGGCGUAAAGAGCUCGUAGGCGGUGUGUCGCGUCGGCCGUGAAAACCUGCAGCUUAACUGUGGGCGUGCGGUCGAUACGGGCAUCACUGGAGUUCGGCAGGGGAGACUGGAAUUCCUGGUGUAGCGGUGAAAUGCGCAGAUAUCGGGAAGAACACCCGUGGCUAAGGCGGCUCUCUAGUACGGUACUGACGCUGAGACGCGAAAGCGUAGGGAGCAAACAGG
rnacentral:rRNA from 1 species